rnacentral:tRNA from 1 species
GGUGGAGUGGGUGAGUGGCUGAAACCAACGGUUUGCUAAAUCGUCGUACUUGGAAACAGGUACCGGGGGUUCGAAUCCCUCCUCCACCG